rnacentral:rRNA from 1 species
ACUCCUACGGGUGGCUGCAGUGGGGAAUAUUGGACAAUGGGGGCAACCCUGAUCCAGCAAUGCCGCGUGUGUGAAGAAGGCCUUAGGGUUGUAAAGCACUUUCGUUAGUGAAGAAAGGUUUAUGGCUAAUACCUAUGAAUUUGACAUUAGCUAAAGAAGAAGCACCGGCUAACUCCGUGCCAGCAGCCGCGGUAAUACGGAGGGUACAAGCGUUAUUCGGAAUGACUGGGCGUAAAGCGCACGCAGGCGGUUAUUUAAGUCAGAUGUGAAAGCCCCGGGCUUAACCUGGGAAUUGCAUUUGAAACUGGGUAACUAGAGUAUGUCAGAGGAAGGCGGAAUUUCCAGUGUAGCAGUGAAAUGCGUAGAGAUUGGAAGGAACACCGAUGGCGAAGGCAGCCUUCUGGGGCAAUACUGACGCUCAUGUGCGAAAGCGUGGGUAGCAAACAGGAUUAGAUACCCUGGUAGUCCACGCCCUAAACGAUGUCAACUAGGUGUUGGGCACUUAAGUGCUCGGUACCGCAGCUAACGCAUUAAGUUGACCGCCUGGGGAGUACGGCCGCAAGGUUGAAACUCAAAGAAAUUGACGGGGACCCGCACAAGCGGUGGAGCAUGUGGUUUAAUUCGAUGCAACGCGAAGAACCUUACCAGGCCUUGACAUCCAGAGAACUAAGCAGAGAUGCUAUGGUGCCUUCGGGAACUCUGAGACAGGUGCUGCAUGGUUGUCGUCAGCUCGUG